rnacentral:rRNA from 1 species
UACGGGGGGAGCAAGCGUUGUUCGGAUUUUCUGGGCGUAAAGGGCGCGUAGGCGGUCGUGACAAGUCACUUGUGAAAUCUCCGGGCUUAACUCGGAACGGUCAAGUGAUACUGUCGGACUAGAGUACAGAAGGGGCAACUGGAAUUCUCGGUGUAGCGGUGAAAUGCGUAGAUAUCGAGAGGAACACCUGCGGCGAAGGCGGGUUGCUGGGCUGAUACUGACGCUGAGGCGCGAAAGCCAGGGGAGCGAACGGG